rnacentral:rRNA from 1 species
UCAGAAUCAACGCUGGCGGCGUGCCUCAGACAUGCAAGUCGAACGAUUAAACUCUCCUUCGGGGGAGAUAUAAAGUGGCGCACGGGUGAGUAACACGUAGGUAAUCUACCUUUGAGUGGGGAAUAACUACCGGAAACGGUGGCUAAUACCGCAUAAUGCAGCGGCACCUAAUGGUGACAGUUGUUAAAGGAG